rnacentral:misc_RNA from 1 species
AACGGUCUAUACCUGCGGUACCUGCGGAGGGAUCAUUAGUGAACGCCCUCACGGGCUUAUAACUAUUCCAAACCUCUGUGAACCGUGCCCUUCGGGGCUAUUUUACAAACAUGGUGUAACGAACGUCAUAUAUCAUAACAAAACAAAACUUUUAACAAUGGAUCUCU